rnacentral:tRNA from 1 species
GCCAUAGAACUUAUAGGUGGUCUAAAAGACUCAUAAUCUUUUGGUCGAUGGUUCGAGCCCAUCAUGGCCCA